CUCCCGCCCCUCCCUUCUGGGGAGGCGAGCGAGUGUAACUGUGGGCUUCCUAGAGCGGCUCCACGUUGAGGGCAAUUAUUUCCGGUAUGAGGAGGCGGUGCCGCUUUGAACGAGAAUGGCGGCGGUCCCGCUGGGGAUGGGAAAAGAGGAGAGGAGCCCGUUGACUCCCGAUACCCAGGGCCCCGGGGAGCAGGAAGGCCCCGGUUCGGAAGAGCUGCCCGUGGUGUUCCUGUGCUCCGGUUGCAAGCGCCCCGUUGGAGACUCGCUCAGCUGGGAGAUCAACGACGAAGACGCCAACUGCAUCCUACUCAACGGUGUCACCCUCAAUGUCUCUGUGGACAAAGAACAAAAACUGUCAACCCAAGCAGGUGAAUAUGGAUGUAUUCUUGAAACCUUGUUUUGCACUGGGUGCAAGAUGACACUUGGAAGCAUUUACAGAUGUACCCCAAAGCAUCUUGACUAUAAACGAGAUUUAUUCUGCUUGAAUGUUGACUCCCUAGACAGUUACACCCUAGGGUCAUCGGAACAGAAAGCUGUAAUUGAUGAGGAGCCUCUCACCCUUGAAAGUCGAGCUAGCUUAGAAGAGUCACUAGAAAGGUCAUGACCAGUAGCAUUUCCUAACAAAAACUGUUAGCAGAAAAGAAAUGUUCAGCUUUUGCAUACACCAUCUGAAGAACUGCAGGCAGAAACAAUAUUGAAAGCAUUGGAGCAACGAUUAUCUGUAGUGGAAUCCAGUUUUGCAUCUCUUCACAACAUUGGCUGAAAAAGAUCAUGAACAUUACUAAUGUUAAUAUCGAUACAUAACUUUGGUAUAACACUUAUUCCUGGAAGUUAGUUGAAUCACAGCAAGAAUCAUCCAUUUAAAAAAAACACAGAAUGUGGCUAGUCUCUGUCUGGUUGAAAAUAUAGGCUUCUUGGGUAGGAAAAUACUUUGGGGGAGCUGAAGAGAGUCUUCAGGGAUCCUGUUUGCAAAACCAUGUUUUACUUAAAAAAACAAUGUCAACUUUUGCUGAAUGACUGAAAUAGUGUUCUUGUCUGCUUUCUAUUCCUUAUAUAGUUUUUGACAAUUUUUUUGUCAAUUUAGUGAAGAUGUGACUAACUUCCAAAGAAGGCAGUAUCCCUAAGAGGUGGGGUGCCUGGGAGAUCAAUGGUGUAAUACUUAAAGUUUCUCUAUAUAACAGCUGUUUAGUCUUCUUCCAGUUAGAUGUUAUAAAAUAGAAGGUGUCAAAAUGUGAGGUAUCAUUUACUCAAGCAGAAUUUUUAAAUGACUUAAUUGUUACUUCCAUUGUUGUAAAACUGAAGAGUAAGAUUUACAUCUUCCAGAACAGGUGAGAAAUUCUGGACUUCAUUUUUUGUCCUACAUACAGUGGACCCAUUAAAAUGAAUGGGAUUUAUUAAGCAACACUUACAUAAAUCCCGUUAUACAAUAAAUCUCAUUGAUUUCUAUGGAUUGUCUCUAUUUGGGACUGAAAUUGGAUCUAGCCCUUAAUCUUUGUAAAUAAAGUAGUAAAAACUAUAGCACGUCAGCUCAGUUUUGUAAUUUUAUGGUGGACCUAGUAUUUAGAAAGGAUUGUUUUCUAGUGUUGUUUUGGAAUCAAGAUACUUGAAUAAAUGUAAAUACACAAUGAUGUAUAUACUUCAAUAAAAACAAGAAUUUAUAGUUGA